rnacentral:rRNA from 1 species
UCGCUCCUACCGAUUGGAUGAUCCGGUGAAAUUUUCGGACUGUCAUGCGUCGGUGGCAACACCCCGUGUGAUAGGAAGUUACUUAAACCUUAUUAUCUAGAGGAAGGAA